rnacentral:miRNA from 1 species
AGUGUGUGUAGUGUGUGUAUAUAAUGCAGUGUGUUUGUGUAGUGUGUUUAUAUAAUGCACACUACACAAACACACUGCAUUAUAUACACACACUAUACAAAC